UAUUUGACUAGUCAUCUAUAUUUCCAUUAAUUAUUAUUCAAAGGUAACCAAGGUGAAUCAAAAAGUACCCUUGUCGUCACAGUAUUACCAGGAACACUUGUUGGGAACAAAAGGAAAAUGCUAAUGUUUACUUGCUAUUUGAAUAAAGUUAUAAAUAUUAGAAUAUGAAGGAAAAUGACCUAUAAUCACAGAUGUGUAUGGUGUAAUCUCUCCUCCCAUUGACAGUUGCCAUCCAUGCCAACUCCACAUGCUAUUUCCUUUUAUCUGUUACUCUGCUGUGUUUGAAGAAACAUCCAAGCAUCAUAUCAUGAAUGACCUUCCCUCCUACUCCAGAGGCAAAGAUGUAACCUUUCCAGGCAUUGGCCAAUUCCGGUGUGAUAAAUAAAAUUAUCUUUAAAAUUGGAGUAUGACGUCACCACAUAGUAUGAUGGAAACAAAGAUAUAGCCAGUGCCCAUUUAUUCAGAAUGACAGGAAACUGUAUAACUGGAUAGUCUCAUUAGUUCCAUAUGUAAAUGAUAUCGUAUGGUAUUUUUCUUUCUCUUUCUGGCUUACUUCACUUGGAAUGAUCAUCUCCAGGUCCAUCUAUGUUGCUGCAAAUGGCAUUAUUUUACUCUUUUUAUGGAACCUGUCAUGAUGUUGAAAGCACCUAACGUGAAUUGACAGGAAUAGCUCCUAGAACAAUGAAGAAUCCCAAUUACAUGACUGAGGAAAAAGCACAAAAAUAGACGGGAGCUGCUCACAUAGAUCCCACCAAAGCUGGGCUGGUAAAUCGGAUCCAGGUAGAAGAGGAAACACACACUUAAUUGAAGAAAGGCAACGGCCGGCCCAUUAUCGUAGGCUCCAGCAGUUUUCCUGAUUGAGAGUACAAUCAGAACUCAGCAGAUGAUCCUUUUCCUUUCUUCUUAUCAGCUCAGUAUGCAGUUUCCACGACUUAGUUACCUUGGCCCUGUCACCGGGGUACAUGGCAAGACCAGAGGCCAAGCAAAGAUACUUUAAAGACAAUAAUGAUGACUGGAUAUUUACAGAAUGAAAGUCAAAAUUGUGCACUGCAAAAAAGAGAGAGGGAGUUUACAGAAAGAGGCCCAUAGCCAAAUUAAUUCCUUCUAAAACUGAGGUUUGUGUUACCUGGUCAUUAAGUCUGAGCUCAAAGAACUGAAGCUGACAGCUAAAUUAUAGGCAAAAGUCACUGUAAGGUACUGAUCUCAUAGCCUUUUCGCACCAAUCUAUGUAUGGGGCUAUUUUCUGUGUUUGGUGUGUUAAUCUGAUCCUGCCAGCUCUACCCAGGUAGAACUCCAGAUGAAGCCUGAGAAAUCAAUGGAGGAAUUGUACACAGACAGGAUUCAGGAAGGUAGAAAAGCAGGGUGGGGCUUAGGGCCCCUGGAAAGACAGCAGGCUUGAAUUGGGCCUUUGAUAUUAUAUCCAUUAAGUCUGACUAGCAUGACUGCCAACAACAUUCUGGUCCUGGAUUUGUAGAUUGAGCUAUGUCCCCUCUAACCACAAAGUGAGGGAACACAGGCAGCUUUUUCUUCAGUUAUAGCAAAUAACUGGUUGAUCAAGUUAAAUAUUUAUAGAAACACAAGAGAAGAGCAUGGCCCAGCAAUCUCUAAGUUUAGCAGUCUUACUAAAUGAAUUACCUUUAUUUCAGUUUUCUCAUUUCUGCUAGCAUCCUUAGCAAGAUUUAGCAAUGCCAGCUAAAUUUGAAUUUCAGUUAAAUAAUGAAUAGUGCUGUGGAAGUAUACCCUCUGCAACAGUUGGGACAUAUAUUCUUUUUUUUUUUUGUCUGAAAUUCAAAUUUAAUUGGGCAUCUUGCAUUUCAUCUGGCAGCUCUAAUUCUUAGUAAAGCAUGGAAGAUGGAACGGGGUGACGCUUCAUGUGGGAAUAUUCAUCACUGGAUGGAUAAAUUGGCACUGAGGUUUUCCAUGCUAUGGUUCAUUAUAGACCAAAUGAGAUCAGUUUAUUGUUUCUUAUAUAGACACACAUAAUUAAUUCAGAAUAAUUGGGGAAGGCCAGUCUGAAAUAGUAAAAUAUUUUAAAGUAAAUGAUACAGUUUAAGGAAAGGAAUCUUACAGACUCCAGUCAAUUGACAGGCACUCAAAAAUAUAUAUUAAAAGAAUUAUGUGAGAUAAAUUGUCCAUUACUGUAUAGUUGGCUUGGUUAUUUAAUUAAUUCCAAUUGAAGCUAAUAAAGUAGUAAGUUUAUUCCCUUGAAUAAAACAGGUAAUUGUCAUGUAAAGCCACUUGAGAUGGAAAGCAAAAUAGAAAGUAGGAAAUAAUAAAAGAUUAUUAGACAAAGAUUAAAGGGAAAAUCUCUCCUCUUGAAAUUAAUACAAGAUAAUAACAACACUAUUGAACACUUACUAUUUUUCAUAUAUUUGGGUUGCACAUUUUGCCAGGCACUUUAUAUACAUCAGCUCAUUUUGUCUUUUAAUCCUCACAAUAACCUUAUGCUAUAGAUACUCCUUCGGUCUCUGUUUUAUAGAUAAGGAAAUCGGGGCUUAAGACUGAUUAAGAAAAGUUACACAGAGGCAGGCCCUAGUCCUUAAUCCAGAUUUUCAUAAAAUUCCACACUCGGAGCCAUUAAGUAAUAUCAACCCCAACAAGUAAAAGACCAAUUUGAUGUAAACUUGACAAUAGGACAUAGGUUAGAAUAAAAUAAGAAGUAACUAAGGUUGAAAGACUCAGAAAUCAGGACACACAAGCAUAGAAAAUAUAAAUGAAGAGGACAAAUUAAGAACCUGUCAGUCUAUUUUCCAAUGUAACUGGAGAUUACUUAUGACCAUAAGGUGGCUAGAAUCUUGUGCUAGAGAAGUGAACGAUGUUACUGUGCAGUUUAAGAAAGCUCCCAAAGUGAAUCAGAAAUACCCUACUGGUGGAGAACGACUGCUUUGGACAGAUGCACUUUACUAAUACAUACAAGUGAUUCAUUAGGCUGCCAUAUGUUGGGAAUAUUGAUUGAGACAUAGGGUUGAAUGUGACAGGAAUGGCACUUUUGUCAUUAAUUAUCACUAUGGAAAAUGGCUUCCAUUUGGGGUGGCUACCAAGGACUCAUUGGGCAUGGAUAGAGCACAUGUUAGGAAAACAUCCUUUUGUGAAAAUAGAAUACAUUAUUAAAGUUGCUGAUGGCUUAAUCAGCUAUACAGUGUCAGGAGGAAAUAAAAAUUUGAGUAUCCAAAAAGAUCAACACAGGAAAGAAAUAAACAUCUAAAUGUAAUAGUAUACCUUUUAUAAAGUGCUUACUUGCUUUGAAAUUAAAACUUUAAUGCCUUGCAUGAGUUUUCUCUCCCAAGAUUUAGAAGUCACAAAAUAGUACCAUUCCCUUCCCUUCCUGGGUUCAAAACCACCUGAGACAAAGGCACAGAGCUCAGAUAGUAUGGUAUGUUUUAUUAUAAUAAAUUUCUGAUUGGAAGGCAUGACUUGUCUUAGAUUUAUGGCCACAACAGGCCUCCUCUACUUCACCCUUGAAUUAGACAAAUGUUCCAGCCAGUAACAAGCAGUUCUGGGCAAUCAUAGGCCUGAUCUUGCAGGUUUAUAACAUGGAGAAGUAGAAAAUUAAUACUUCUGGCAGGCAAGUUGCAACCCAAAGUGAAAGAGGACACAUAUAAAAUGGCACAUUCUAAGCAGUUUUUUCAAACUCAAUAAACAAACAACUUCUCUUUCCCAGGAACAGUGAUGAGGGGCUGGGAAGAGGCCAGGAAUGUCACUGGAGCUGAAAAGAAAUGGAGAUUCUCCCAAAACAUGGACCUUUCUCCAUCCUAUUCAAGCUGAAGCCUCAGUUGAUGAAGUCAUUCAGCAACUUUAGAGAGUCAAAGCAACUAGAACCUUUGGAAUCAAGAUUUGAUACUAUUUGAAUUUUGCAGUAAAAAUAACUAUAGCAGGAACACUUACUUAAUGCUUAUCAUAUGGCAGGCCCUAUUCUAAACCCUUUACAGAUAUCAUUUCAUUUAAUCCUUCCAAUUAUCCUAUGAGGGAGAUUCUAUUAUGGUCCACAUUUUACAGUUUGGGAAACUGAGGCACAGAACAGUUAAGAAUAAUCCUCCAUAUUUUGGCCAGUGGUCCUUCUACUGUAAGUCCCCUUGCCUUCCACCUGUGCGGGAUCAGAGACCCAGGAAAUUUUGGCACAAUUUUCUGCAUUUGUUCUUUAGACAAUAGGCCUUCGUUUGGUCUCUGUCCUCAAAUGCUGCAUCCUACAUGGGAUUCGAUAAGCCUUAGGCUUUUUCUAAACCAGGCAGUUUCCUUCCCUGGUCUUUGUAUCCACCUUCAUUCACAAAGAUGCUCCAACUGUUAAAAUUUCCCUCAACAGAGGGGCUGUGUAUCUGCCUUCUUUCUAAUCUUUCUGAAUUUGCCAGUCUAACUUUUCUAGAUUUCUUAUCCACAAGCAUUUGCUCAAGUCGUCUGCAGAUCUCUCAGGCAAAACAGGAUGCUCCAGCAGCCCAGCAGGGAAUGUGAAAUGAGCUCUUCUCUGUCUCCUCCAUGUGGCACCAAUCCCACCGUGUUUAAAAUUAGGGCCCACUUACCCUUUCACUGGAUUUCAGUCUCUAAAUAUACACAUUUAAAAAUCUAAA